rnacentral:rRNA from 1 species
GAUACCAUAGGGGGUAGAGCACUGUUUCGGCUAGGGGGUCAUCCCGACUUACCAAACCGAUGCAAACUCCGAAUACCUAUGAGUACUAUCCGGGAGACAGACUGCGGGUGCUAACGUCCGUAGUCAAGAGGAAAACAAUCCAGACCGCCAGCUAAGGCCCCAAAAUCAUAGUUAAGUGGGAAACGAUGUGGGAAGGCAUAGACAGCUAGGAGGUUGGCUUAGAAGCAGCCACCCUUUAAAGAAAGCGUAAUAGCUCACUAGUCGAGUCGGCCUGCGCGGAAGAUGUAACGGGGCUAAAACUAUGUGCCGAAGCUGCGGAUGUAUACUUUGUAUACGUGGUAGGGGAGCGUUCUGUAAGCCGAUGAAGGUGUGUUGAGAAGCAUGCUGGAGGUAUCAGAAGUGCGAAUGCUGACGUGAGUAACGACAAAACGGGUGAAAAACCCGUUCGCCGAAAGACCAAGGGUUCCAGUCCAACGUUAAUCGGGGCUGGGUGAGUCGACCCCUAAGGCGAGGCCGAAAGGCGUAGUCGAUGGGAAAAUGGUUAAUAUUCCAUUACUUCUGUGUAAUGCGAUGAGAGGACGGAGAAGGCUAAAUCAGCCUGGCGUUGGUUGUCCAGGUGAAAGGAUGUAGGCAUGUAUCUUAGGCAAAUCCGGGGUACUCUAUGCUGAGAUCUGAUAGCAAGCUGUACUUGUACAGCGAAGUGGUUGAUGCCAUGCUUCCAGGAAAAGUCUCUA